AGGCCAAGAUCCCGGCCCCUGCCCUCCCCUGUAUUUCAUUACUAUUAGAGGUGCCUGAAUAACACCCCUAUCUCUCAGGACUGGGCUGGCCUUAUGGAGAUAUCUUCUGGUGACAAGCGGGUGAGGGCUGCUCAGGGCAGAAGCAGGAGACUCUGCUACCUGUCCCUGGGCCCUAGGUUUCUGGGUCACAACUUCUUUUGUGCUUUAAACAGAGCAGUUCCAUCUCUGGGCUUCUUUUGCUGUGGUGGGCUCCAUAGUUUAUGUGGCUCUGGGGACUGGUGGUUGCUGAUUCCCUUAGGGAGCGGCAGCACGGAAGAGUGGUUCUUUUACUGUGCCCCCGCCCCCACCCUCAGCCUAGGGGUAUGUUUCUCCCAGCCUCUUGUCCAACUUCACACCCCAUUUAUAUGCUGUUGAGAACCCAGUCUCCAGGGAGCCAGAGGCCCCCACUCCCAGUCUCUCUCAGCUAAGCUCUCUAAGCUGGCCUGGGUUCUGAGCUACAUGGAAGGCAGAGUUCUCAAGCCCUUGUUUUAUAGUUUCCCCCGAAACCCCUUGUAAGGGUCUGAGACAAUACAAGUCAGACUCUUGAGACAGCACAUCUCAGCCUGAAUCUCUCACCACCUGCCUGGUGCCUUUGUUCCCAGCAUGGUGGCUCCUCCCCAGCCCACUUCCUCCCAGGCCUCAGAUAUAGGUCUCCUUGGCACAAGGCGCCACCACCUCAUUUGGCAGCCAGCACUGACUGACCUGUGCUGUGAGUCUUGGAGACACUCCAUGCAUGGCCCUGCCUCUUUUCUGCUGUUCUCAGGGACUUUGCCUCAGUUUCCCCUUGUGAUCUUUCUGUGGGUUAGCCCAUGCUGGGGUAGGGGUGGUGACAGGGGUGAGAGGCUUAAAUAAAGGCUGUUUUGAAGCCC
rnacentral:lncRNA from 1 species